GGGCUCACUUCGGCAGCACGUAUACUAAAAUUGGAACAAUACAGAGAAGAUCAGUAUGGCCCCUGUGCAAGGAUAACAUGUAAAUUCAAGAAGCGUUCCGUAUUUUU